CCUCGCCGCUCCGCACCGCCGGGCGUCAGCGGCGGACACGGCAGCGCCCAUGGGCUGCGGCAACUCCACGGCCGGCGGCGCGGGAGGCAGAGGUGCCACAGGAACUACUAAAGAUGUAGCAGAAGAAUCCGUAUCAGAUGAUGACAAAAGGAGGAACUAUGGUGGCGUGUAUGUUGGCCUGCCAUCGGAUGCAGCCGCCAUGGUUUCCAGUCAGACGAAAGCUGCACCAAAAGAAGGAAAUAAACACAUCAAGAUGCAAAGAGAUGGAGUCUUCUACUAAGACCAGUUGCCAGUGCUUUAGAGAGAGCUGUCUUUGUGCUGAAGAUUUUUAUACUUACAUAGCCUUCCGGAGAGCAAGAGAGAUCAGAGCACCAAAAAAAUCUGAACCGUUGCAAGUUCCAACUACGGGUAAAGCUUAAAGUACAGCGUUGAAUCAGUUUCCUACGAUGGUUGGUUGCAUUGUGGAAACCUCCUGCUGUUCUCCAGUGACAAAUGAAAUCGGUGAACUCACAGUGGAUGUUUCUGCACAAGAGCUAACUUUGAUGAUCUGCAACUUAUUUCUCUGUGGCCAUAUUGCAGAUUUCAUCAGCUAUCAGCUACGCUUCGUAUAUUUUCUCCAACAAUUUUUGAUAGAUUUUAUAUAGAAAACCAUUACUACUGUCCACUUAAUAGUUCCUAUGAAAUCUGCCACUUGGGUUAUCAACGAUUUCAGGCUUCCAGCUUCUGAAGACAAAUAGACAUCUCAUGCUUGACCCCUUCAACAUUGAACUGAGAUGAAAUAAUCUUGAAGAUUAAGAGGUGGUAUUAAAAUAUCUCACUAUGAAUGAAUGUCUGUAGAUAUACAUUGGCAGAGUCUUAUUCUUGGAUGGCAAGCUGAUGAGAACUCAAAUAACAUUGGGUAAUAAACAUGCAGGUUUGCUUCCCACCUGCUUCCUCUGGCAUAAGAGUGUAGCUUCCACAUCACAUGUUCCACAAAUGGUCUGAAACAGUUUCCACAGCACUAGUUUACUCAGUACAAAGCAAUUAGGCCCGUGCCUGAUCUGAUCACUAUUGCCUUUCCCAAGGCAAAAAACCCACCAGUCAUCCUAGGAUACAUCGUAGUUCGGCUAGUGCUUGAAAAGCCAGCAACAGAUGCCACUUAUCUCCCUGGUUAUUUGUCCACUUCUAUCCUUCAAUUUCUGGGAAGAGUCAUUAAAAAAGGUAUACAGGGCUAGAGCAGAACAUCACUUGUUCUGCUACUGACAUAUGUGGGCUGUGGAGAGAAAGAGGUGAUCUUUAUUGAAUAGCUCCUAGCAGCUGGUGGUGGGACAGUUGCAAAGGGUACUCUUUCUUGUUUUACGUCAUUACUUAAUUUUUCCUGUGCAGAUCUGCAGAGAAGUGUGGAGCACUUUGCAGAAUUGGCCUCUUAAUGAGUCAUCCUCUGAAUGUGUGGGAGGUAUGGUGGUUUCUUAAUAUUUUUGUUCCUCUGCAUCUUUUAAUCUCAAAAGCUUACUGAUCAACUGACAAAUGUUUCAGUAUCAUGGACUGGAGCCUCUGCAAUAGAUACACAUUCUAUUAUGCCGUGAGGGCCCGUACCCAUCAAACUGAAAAGCAAGGGCCAAGCCCUUGUCUUAGGUUUGCAGACUCUUGCCUUUUAUUUUCCCAAGGACCCAGAGAUCUAGAAACUGUGUGACAGGACACUGUAUUCCAUGUUUGGCCAAAUUCCACUUGGGAAACUGAUUUUCUGCUCAUCAAAAUUCCUCUAUUGUGAGCAGCAUUUCUUAAGCCUUUGUUGAUAAAAGAACAUGACAUUUCACAGAGAAAUGAGUAUAUCUGCUUUUUCGAAACUUACAAUCUAUGGAUAUUUCUGUUAGGAAGAGGAACACAAAAGAAGCCCUAUAUGCCAGCUGCCAGCUGUGCAUUUGAUGGCAUCCUUGAAGGAUAU